UACGUAGGGUGCGAGCGUUGUCCGUAAUUAUUGGGCGUAAAGGGCUCGUAGUCGGUUUGUCGCGUCGGGAGUGAAAACACUGGGCUUAACUCAGUGCUUGCUUUCGAUACGGGCAGACUAGAGGUAUGCAGGGGAGAACGGAAUUCCUGGUGUAGCGGUGAAAUGCGCAGAUAUCAGGAGGAACACCGAUGGCGAAGGCAGGUCUCUGGGCAUUAACUGACGCUGAGGAGCGAAAGCAUGGGGAGCGAACAGG
rnacentral:rRNA from 1 species